GAAAUGUUAGGAUAAAUAAUCCAAUAGAUUGUGGUUCUAGAAAUAUAUACAUUAUA
rnacentral:tRNA from 1 species